GGCGAGAUCAAGAAGAUCGUCAUGGGGCUCGACAAGAGCAACAAGACCCCCUGCGGCUUCUGCUUCGUUAUGUACUAUUCGAGGGAAGAUACUGAGGAUUCAGUCAAAUACAUUAGCGGGACAGUUCUUGAUGAUCGCCCAAUUCGUGUAGAUUUUGAUUGGGGAUUCGAAGAAGGCAGGCAGUGGGGCCGUGGUCGGAGUGGUGGACAAGUGAGAGAUGAAUACCGCACCAAUUAUGAUCCUGGUAGAGGUGGUUAUGGAAAGCUUGUACAAAAAGAGCUGGAAGCACAAAGGGAUUUAGUAGAUUAUGG
rnacentral:misc_RNA from 1 species